GGUCCUAAUACAACCACAUCUAAAGGUCCUAAUACAACCACAUCUAAAGGUCCUAAUACAACCACAUCUAAAGGUCAUUUAUCACUGAGUCUCUGCCUCUAAUACAACCACAUCUAAAGGUCCUAAUACAACCACAUCUAAAGGUCCUAAUACAACCACAUCUAAAGGUCCUAAUACAACCACAUCUAAAGGUCAUUUAUCACUGAGUCUCUGCCUCCUAAUGCAACCACAUCUAAAGGUCAUUUAUCACUGAGUCUCUGCCUCCUAAUGCAACCACAUCUAAAGGUCAUUUAUCACUGAGUCUCUGCCUCCUAAUGCAACCACAUCUAAAGGUCAUUUAUCACUGAGUCUCUGCCUCCUAAUGCAACCACAUCUAAAGGUCAUUUAUCACUGAGUCUCUGCCUCCUA